CCAUCCUCCAAGGCUAAAUACUCCUGACUGACCGAUAGUGAACCAGUACCGUGAGGGAAAGGCGAAAAGAACCCCGGCGAGGGGAGUGAAAAAGAACCUGAAACCGUGUACGUACAAGCAGUGGGAGCACAGGUUUACCUGUGUGACUGCGUACCUUUUGUAUAAUGGGUCAGCGACUUAUAUUCUGUAGCAAGGUUAACCGUAUAGGGGAGCCGGAGGGAAACCGAGUCUUAAUUGGGCGUUAAGUUGCAGGGUAUAGACCCGAAACCCGGUGAUCUAGCCAUGGGCAGGUUGAAGGUUGGGUAACACUAACUGGAGGACCGAACCGACUAAUGUUGAAAAAUUAGCGGAUGACCUGUGGCUGGGGGUGAAAGGCCAAUCAAACCGGGAGAUAGCUGGUUCUCCCCGAAAGCUAUUUAGGUAGCGCCUCGUGAAUUCAUCUCCGGGGGUAGAGCACUGUUUCGGCUAGGGGGCCAUCCCGGCUUACCAACCCGAUGCAAACUGCGAAUACCGGAGAAUGUUAUCACGGGAGACACACGGCGGGUGCUAACGUCCGUCGUGAAGAGGGAAACAACCCAGACCGCCAGCUAAGGUCCCAAAGUCAUGGUUAAGUGGGAAACGAUGUGGGAAGGCCCAGACAGCCAGGAUGUUGGCUUAGAAGCAGCCAUCAUUUAAAGAAAGCGUAAUAGCUCACUGGUCGAGUCGGCCUGCGCGGAAGAUGUAACGGGGCUAAACCAUGCACCGAAGCUGCGGCAGCGA
rnacentral:rRNA from 1 species